GCUGGACGAACCCCGGCCCCGAGCACCCCACGGCUCGUGCCGUGCAUCACCCCGUGGCUCGGCUGUGACCCUCCCGGGGGGGGCGCUGAAGCCAGCAGCUCCAUUGGGACCAGCCCCGUGUGGCUCGUGGCCACCUGCCCUCGCGUGCCCCAGGCAAAGCUGCUUGGCCCCGGCUCAGCCCGGAGGCUUACGGAGGUGCACGCUGACGGCAGCGGGCACGCAGGUCCCCCCGCCGGUGCCAGGAGGUGUCCCCCCCCCCUGUGACAACGCCUCCGGGUGACACCUCCCUUGUUGUCCUGUCCGGGGGGUUAAACAUUAACAGGGGCUGUGGCCAGGGCAAGGCCAGGGGAGUCACUGGAGGGGAUAAGGGAAGGGUGUUGUUUUGGGAGAAAGCAAUGCUCAGAAAGUGUCCCCACGCUCUGGUUGUCCCUGCGCUGGUCAUCUUCUCCCACCCGGCUGCUCCUCCGGCCCCUCCUCAGCUCCCACUCUUCCUCCCCAGCUGCUUUCUUCGUCUCUCAUGGUCGAGCAGGCGCUUGCUGAGCUGCCCAGUGCAUUUCCCCGUGGAGAGGGCACUUCUUGCAUCUCCUGCCUUCGGUCUGGCCAGGGGAGAGCUGCUGGGGCUGCACCAAGGUGGGCUUCCACCAGCCCUGCUUUCCCCUCGCUGCUUGGGCACACAUGGGAAAGCCUGGGCGAUGGCUCAGCACCAGGACAAGGAACAACGCGCAGCCCGAAGGCUUCGCAAGGGGUUGUGCUCCCGAAGCAAGAAGGAAAAAGGCCGGUGGGAGCGAUGGCCGUGCGGACUGCCCCCUCUUCAGGCAGGAGGGCUGAAGGCCUGCUCCCCGCACCACUCCGGCACAGCUCCCCAGCUCUCCCGCGCCAUUUGGGGAGCUGGGCUCCCUGCCGGCUCUGCCAAAGGAGCCCUUGGCGAUGCCACUGGAUGCUCCUGCCCUGGAAAAACAUGUAGAAACAGUAAUAGUCCCCUAACCUGGCUAAAUAAAAUCGUUGUGGUCCAUCAGACGAGCUGGCCGUGGAUGGUGAGCGAGGAAGAGGAUGGUCGGCAUCAGACAGCCCUACCCAGGGGGGUUGUGUCGCCGACGUGA
rnacentral:lncRNA from 1 species